CUUUAGCUGACGAGUCCCAAAUAGGACGAAAUGCGCAUCCUGGAU
rfam:Schistosoma mattheei strain Denwood, Zambia genome assembly, scaffold: SMTD_scaffold0005771